UGUAAGCUUAUACGUCUCAAAAAUCAAUGUCUCCUUGUGUGCUCUGUUUUACAUAUGCUCACCAGUUAGAAGCUCCUAUUCGCCUCCAGGGUGACAAAGAAAAGCGAAGAGGCUGUUUUGAGAACGGAUGGUCCACCAUUAAAGAAACAUCAUGAGGCAUUGUACUCAUUGGUGAAGGAUGAUAAGGACUUGUGAUGGUGUCUCAUGAGUGAAGAGAAAAUAUUUACUAGUUGUUACUUGAUUUUUUUGAUACAAAUGAAACUGCAGUGGUUGUUCUAGACAGUGUUUUUGGUUAAUAAUUUCCCAAUGGUAUUUAUCUCCAGAUAUGUAUGUUGGGAGUUAGAGCAAGAGAUUUGCGAGGAUCAUCAUUAAGUAUGGCUGAAUUGGUUUCUAAACUACAAUCUUCUGAACAAGCGAGCCAAGUGCUUGAAGAAAAGUUUGCCGGAAGUGUCAGAAAUUAAGCGUCUUGGGUUUGCUAGAUAGUAAGUGAUAGUUCUCAUGGAAGCCAACAUGAUCAAGACUGAUGGUCCACCAUAAUAUUAUAGAAGCAUGAGGAGGCAUUGUAAUCGCUGAUGAAAAAUGAUAUCCAUUCAAAAAAUGAUGGUGUACCUUGAUUGAAGAUUAAUAGAUAUUAUCUUUAGUUGUCUUGUUUUGUAGAUAGGUACGAUGAAGUACAUUGGGCAUCUAAGGAGUGCUUUUGUCUCAAAUUUCUUAAAGGAUAUUUAAUUAUAGAAU